UGUCUCGCUGAAAAACAAACAUAUCGCUAGUCCUCCGUGAGCUAUUCUCGAACAAGGCAAUGAUGGUCCGCAGCAAAAAACAUGGUGAAGCGCUAUGAUGGCAAACGGUUACUCGCUCUCAUGACCUCUGAACUCUUGGAAUGCAAAUGGAAUUGCGACAGGCGAGGUACUUAUUAGUGACGAAGGGAAAACACGAGUUCAAGUCAUGGUUGAUGUUUGGGCUCACUAUAUGAAAGGCUGCAACACUUCCUUCGAUGACGUAAACUGCUGGAUGCAGUCUGCGGUCACAAACGAGAACGUGCGCUCCGUGCAAACAACCGUUCCAUCUAUACAAGACCAACAAAUGCGCCAUAUCAUCCUCAAGUUUGAUCGAGCGCACGCUACCGUGACCCGAGGCUCGGCAACAUCGUUGCGGGAUGGCAACGGUGUCAUGACUGACUGCUUACAAUUUCUCCACACAUACGAAGACGUCACCUGUGCCGCUUACGCUCGCCCAACGAUUACCUGGUGAAGGCUGCGCCAUCUACUCCCCGCUUCGUCACAACGGAAUCAACGUUCACGCACUAGUUCCGUCAACCACAAGACGACUCCUCAACUCAGGCCAUUCUGCGUUCCCUCUCACCUAGAAUGAUCUUGCCUCGAUCGUGCACAUAUGUUUGCUUCUGAGCAACAAGCUGUUAGGGUUCCAAUAUACCCCCUUAGCAAAUAUUUGUGGACGGUAGGGUUUCGCCUCCUAAAACACCAAAAUUCAGGAGAUGUUGGGUGAUUUUUGGACUGGGUAGGGGUUUCAUGAGGAUGUCAGCUUGCAUCUCGUGUGUAAGGCAAUAAACAAACUGGAGUAUUUGAAGCGCUGCAAAUUGAAAUGGUACCGCACCGCUAUGUGCUUGGUGCGGGUAUGAAAUUUUGUAGUGUCAACCAAUGCGAGGGCAGAUUGGUUGACACAAAGUGUUGUAGUGGGUUCAGAGAGAUUUUAUCGAAGGGUGUGUAGCAUGUCGCAGCCAGACCACCUUGGAAGCAGCCAUGGCUAUAGCCAUGAAUUCUACUUCUGUACUGGAUAGGGUUGUGGUUUUCUUUCGGGUUGAAUCCCAGCUUACUGCAUCGUGAGAUUACAUGAAACAGUAACCGGAUGUGGAGCGGCGCUGGUUGAUCUUGCCUGCCCAAUUCCCGUCACCGUAUCUGAACAGGGAGCAAAGGUUGGGUGCGGCAGUGCGGCGGUACUCAAUGUAGUAGCCAAGACUACCAUGCAGAUACCAAAAAAAACAUGUUUACAUGCCUAGAUGUGCGCAGCCUGGGAUAAUGCAUGUAUUGGGCAAGGAGGCUUGUGGUGAAGGCGAGAUCGGGCCGUGUGAACACGCAAGCCCAAUUGAGAGAACCGACGGCAUUUGCAUACGGAAAGGUGGAGCAAGUUGCACAAGCCUCGGCCAUCAAUGGACAAUCCAGCGCCAAAAGCUUGGUCUCAAGAGCUAUUGGGGUGGAGACAAGGUAAGAGACAUGGAAGCCAAAUUCCUGCAAUUUCUGUUGCACAUAAAAUGUUUGAUGUAUUUGAAGUCAGUCUUGAUUUAUGUCGCGGUUGAUUUGCAAGCUUAGAUGGUGGGCAUUGCCGAGGUUAGAAAGAAGAAACCGGCCAUGUAAUUUUUUGCUUGACUCUUUGCAACAACGAGAUGCUGUUGCUUACAAUGAAUGUGUCAUCCACAUAUAGUGUAAGGAUGGCAAAUGAGGAGCCUUCUUGGAGGUAGUAAACAUUGGUAUUGAGUCAAGUUUUUAAACCCGAGAGUGGCUAAUAAGUUCCAUUGGAACAAAAGGUUCCAUUGGAACAAAAGGCAAUUGUGUAAAAAGAACAUAUUUGCUUUUUUUGGGCCAAUGUGGUUUGCUUCUGGGCAAUAGAGAAGGAGAAUUAUUGUUUUUCUCCAAGGCUCAAGCCGGAGAUACACCUUUGUUGCUACAAGCAGAGGUGUGGCGCUGGAUUGGGGAAGUUGUCGCAAACGGGGGUGGGGGGGGGGGGUUCUCAAGAGCAUCACUAUUGGUGUCGUCGGGAGUUGCAGGAUGAUCAUGGUGAUUAUGCUGAGUAUGUCAGCUAAGAUGCGGCAUUAACUCGAGAGUGGAGUGGGGAUUGAUCAUCCGCGAUAGCUUGUAAGAGGAGCUAGGGGGACUGAGAAGAGCAUCAGGUUGUGAGUUGUGUGGAGCAAGCGCUGAGUUAGGCGCUAUUGACAAAGGCAGAGCGGGUAGCGGGGUGAUGGUAGUCGGAAGCAGAGGUGGUGACGAACCACGUGAGAUUCGCACUAGAACGACUGAAGAGGAAGGGGAAGAUCGAGAUGGUAGCUCGGCGGAUAGCGGGAGAAGUACCUCAAUAUGGCCAGUGCCAUUGGGAGUUGGCUCUGAGAUAGUUGAGCGGGUAAUGUCUUUGGGAUGCUUCAUUGGCAAGGUGGUCGUAGUGGUGAGCGUUGGAAGGCUUGACAAGGGCGCUGUUGGAGGUGAGGUAGAGCCUCAUAUGAUGUAGAAAAGCGGGUCACUUUGUAAGUGUGUAUCCAGAAAUUCAGCAGCAUGGGGUUGAGGGAUUUUAGUUGAGAAUUGCUGAUCCUGAAAUAUUACAUCGCGGAAAAUCAGCAUAUCUCCAGUGCUGACUUUUUGCAGUUUAUAUCCUUUAUUUUGAGAACUAUAUCCAAGGAGUAUGCAUUUGAUAGAGCGAUCAUCGAGAUUCACUCCUAGUUUUAGCAGGGAUUUGAGCAUAAGCUUUGCUCCCAAAAACGUGAAGAUGCAAAAACGUGAAGGUGGGAGACAUUAGGUUUGCAUUUAUGCCAAAGUUCAAAUGGAGUUAUAUGUAAACGAAUGGAUUUGGUGAAGCAACAUAUCUAAAGCUAUGUUGCUCACGUAAUUGCUUUACCUCAA